rnacentral:rRNA from 1 species
AGAACGAACGCUGGCGGCAGGCUUAACACAUGCAAGUCGAGCGCCCCGCAAGGGGAGCGGCAGACGGGUGAGUAACGCGUGGGAACAUACCCUCCGGUUCGGAAUAGCUCAGGGAAACUUGGAUUAAUACCGGAUACGGCCUAGCGGCGAAAGAUUCAUCGCCGGAGGAUUGGCCCGCGUUCGAUUAGCUAGUUGGUGAGGUAACGGCUCACCAAGGCGACGAUCGAUAGCUGGUCUGAGAGGAUGAUCAGCCACAUUGGGACUGAGACACGGCCCAGACUCCUACGGGAGGCAGCAGUGGGGAAUCUUGCGCAAUGGGCGAAAGCCUGACGCAGCAACGCCGCGUGGAGGACGAAUGCUUUCUGAGUUGUAAACUCCUUUCAGCAGGGACGAUUGUGACGGUACCUGCAGAAGAAGCACCGGCCAACUACGUGCCAGCAGCCGC